ACGCCCUGGGCCCCCGCCCCAGGCCGCCCCUGGCCCGGGGAGCCCAAGGCCGCCCGCAGGGGCGUGGGCAGGGGGGCCCGGGACCCCAUGGGCGCGCUCCUGGGAGAGCUGCUCCCCUGCAAAUUCCGUGAGUUCCUGGCCCAGCUGCGGGCCAAGUGCUCAGAGGAGCCGGAGCUGCAGGCGCAGAGUAAGGCCAAUGCACACAAGCGGGGCCCUUCCCGGGUGGGGUGUCCCCAGGCCGUGGGGUCCCCACUCUGGAGCUCAGAGCCCUCCUCGAGGGUGGUCUGCCAUGCCCCUGAACGGGUCAGUAAGGCACCCAGGGUAAGGACUGAUCCCCAACUCCCAGCUAACUCCUCCUCCUCCUGGCUCCCAGCGCCCUCAGCUCCGAAACAUCAAAGUGGGGUGUCCGGGUCCUGGCGGGAUUCUCCACAGUGUCCCAGCUGCCAGUUCCUCCCAGACCUGAGGGACCAGUUGUCAGACUUCCAGGAGAGACUUGACAAGAUUUUGCGCUACCAGAAAUCUACCCUGGGACCCCUGAGGGGUGACUACUCAGAAUUCCCCACAGUCAAAAAGGACAGCCCGUUCUGUGGCACACCGGGCCCCGAGGCCAUGCCCACCCCCACCCUCUCCAGGGGAGGCCUGGGGCCCCGAAGGCGCAGCUGCCCUUUCCGGGUGCGGUUUGCGGACGAGUCACUCAGGGACAGCGCGCUGCGCUACUGGGAACGUCGCUGUGCAGUCCAGCAGAACAUGACAGCCACCCCGCCAGCAGAGUCGGUGCCCAGGAUGGGGUUGGGGAGCCUCGGGAGGUGGCCGGACAGUUUGCCCAAAGCCGAGUCUCCCCGGGUCAAGGAAGAUGCCACGGCCAGCUCCGCAUGCUGGGCCCACCCUGGCCUGGUCACUGCAGUGAGGCUGUGGAGGGACCUCCCGGGCCUUCUGGACACCUGCAGCUUCCUGGAGCAGGUGGGCCGAUCACCCUCCUCCUGGAGCCAGAAGCCGGAACCCUUUCUGCCCGACCUGGUGCUGCAGUCAGUCUUGAAGCAUGGCUACCCUAAGGGCUACUAGCUUCUGUCUUCCACAACUCUGACUGCUCAUGGGUGCCCCAGCUGAGGGCUGCAUGCCGGCCAGGCAGUGAGGGUGUCCUGCCUCAGCCUACUAAUAAACACAUAUCCCAGGUGGCUGGGAUCUGCUGUUAGGUCUCACAUACAGUGCAAGCCUGCCUUGGGGGGUCUCCGGGGAUUCCUGGGGUGGAGGAGGAACAGCUGGGCCUGCCUAGGGCCUAUGCCAGGUCCUCCCUUCUGAUAUGAUACCCUGCACAACCUCCGACCUGGCACUGUGCAUCUGUCCGCUCAGAUCAGCCCAUACCUGAAGGAGGUGCCUGCCGUGCGGGGGGCCCGGGAAUGGUGAACUGUGCCCCCACCCCUGCCACACCUGUGCUGUGAUCCCUGGACAAAGUGGGCCCCCUCCUCACUGUCACUGGCGCCCAUCCCGGGCCGCUGGUCCAGCUCUUUAUCGCCACCCCCUGGCCAGGGAGGACACAGCCAGGGAAUCACGCAGGCACCUGGCUGGGCAGAAGCCUGGGUCACUCCAGGUGGCCGGGGCUGGACAGCGAUUGGUGGUGACCUUGGGCUGUGGAUGACCGAGGCUUUUUUGGAGUGGCGCCCUGGCUCCAGAAGAAAGGCGGUUGGUAGGCCGAGAAACGGUUUGGACAAAGCCAGCUUGGGGAGGGCUGGGAGCAGCGCCACGACCGCCCCCGCAGGCACACAUGGGGGCUGGAGCGGGAAUCGACUCCCCCUUCCCCCGACCCUUUGGCAUCUCCCUCAUCUCCGUCUCCGGAGUUUCACGCCCCGCGCCCCCCAGCCCAGGCUAUUUCUGGGGGUCCCCGAGGAGACUGGAUUGUUCCACACCAACUCCUGGGGCCUUCGCCCCCCGCGUGCCUCAGUUUCCCCCGCCCGCUCGCCCACCGGCUGCAGCGCCGCACCGCGCCCACGCGGGGGCAGUGUUGGCCUGGCUUUGGCGUCGCCGAAACUUCUCUGCUUCCCGCUCCAGGUCAGAAACUUUUCCCUUCCCGCCCCCGCAUCCCCUCCGCCGCGGGCUCCUGCACCUGCGCUGGCCGCGGCUGCACCUAGGAGAUCUGGGCGAACUUAUUGGUCGCUAUGCAACCCCCCAAGUGCACAGCCUUCGGGGCCCCACGCGCCCCGAGCCCGCAGGUCCCCCGCUCGCCGCGGAGGCUGUGACCAAAGGACGCCGAGCGCAGGAUCUACGCGCGGAUACCGCGCGCCACACCCGCCACACGGAGAGACACACACGACGACGCACACACAGACACCCCCAGACCCCUUCACAGACACCACGGCUCGGAACACAUCGCACCCCCAGUCCUGCCCUGUACCACUCACAGUCGGGGACCCCAGCCCCACGUUGGGGAUCCCUGCUUGCCUGGAAGACGCAAGCGCGUCCUUCAUGGCCCUCCGUAGUGCCUGUCCAUCACCAAGGUGACGCCCGCUGCGAGCAGAGCUGCAUCUGCCUGCGGAAGGGGGUGCGGAGGGAGCGAGCGCGCCAAGAGGCGGCCCCUCCUUGCCACCCAGCCCCGGGCCGCUCCAGGGCGUGAACAAGGCCCAGGGAGGCCCGGCUCUUUCUGAAGGUCACAGGCACGGAGUGUUGGAAUCGGCCUCCAGCUCUGCACUUCUGCCCCGGAGGCAGUGCCGUGGAGCUCCCUCCCGCAAGGUGACCUGCGGGGCAGGCUCUGGGGGACCCCCCUGCACACGUGAGCGCAGGGCAGAGAGAAUGCGGGGAGGUCAGCGGGAAAGGAGGACUUAUUUGGAGCACGUGGAAUUUGGGGAGACUGCGGCAGGCGGGCGGGGCAGCAGGAGAAAGGGCAGGGGGCAGAAGCCUGCAGGUGUCCCAGGAGGGCAGGCGGCCCUGGCCGGAAGUGCGCCGGGCACGCGGAGCGCCCCUCACCGGAAGUGAGGGAGGCCUGCUGCUCGGCCUGCAGGGGGCGCCCUGGUGGGAGAGGGGGGACACAGGCAAGGGGAGCCCCUGAAGAUGUGGAACUCCAUGGAAGCCAGCCCACGCGGGAGAGCCACCCCAACACGCUGAUUGUUCCGUGCAGUUCCUAGGGGACUGUCCGGGUCGCCUCCCCCAUUGUACGCUGGGCCCUGACCCCGGUGACAGCGGCGGGUGGGGUCUGCAGGAGCCGAUUGGGUCAGGAGGGUGGGGCCCUCCCGAGUGGCAUUAGCGGCGUCUUAGCAGAGACCAGAGAGGGAGCAAGAUCUUUCUGCCGAAUGAGGACACAGCAGAUGGGAAGGGAAGGGAAGGGAGCUGACCACGGUUAUUCGUGCAGCCAACCUGGCGUUGCAGUCUCUCCGAGGACCACGCGGCGCUGAGGCGCGGGGCACGGGGGAGGCUGCAUCCCCACCCUGGACAGAUGGGCACGCCUGUCCCCUUUCCUUCGUUUCUGCCUCUCUGUCCUUCUGUCGCUGCCCCCGGGGAUGCCUAAGUGACAGGAGGUUGGCACUUUCCAUGGUGUGAGAGACACGUGCGUCGCCUCCCCCCAGCAACCCCACGAGCCUCCUGGUCCCCUAGUAGAAGCAGCUCCAGGGAUGGGGGAGACGGUUCAAGUCCACUGUAGCACGUGAGACACCCGGCACAGUGGGCUGGGGCUUCUACCACCACCCACGCUGUCCCCACCGUGGGAACCAGUGAGGGCAGGAGGGACCUGGGACCUGCCCUCCUGAGCUCAGGGUCCAGAGGGAAGGCACUGAGGAGCCAGGACAGAUGCCACCGGGCAAGCAGCGUGUGCCCGUGCUGGAGGACAGACGCUGCCCCUGCAGACGAAGCAAUCCGGGCGCAGAGAGGUGAAGUAACCUGGCCAGGGUUGCACAGUGAGCACCAGUUGGGAAGCCGAGGCAGGCGCUAUGAUGGGGACACAGGCGGACUCCAGGAAGGCGAUCGUGAUGUCUUUGGGCUCAGAGGGCUGGGCUCUCGGGCAAGCGCCAUCCACGCCUCCCUUUCUUCAUUCUGCAUUCCUACCCCAACAGGUUUGGUGGUUUUCUUUGUUUGUUUGUUUGUUUGUUUGUUUUUGGUACCGGGAAUCGAACUCCGGACCUCGCGCUUGCCAGGCAAGCGCUCGUGCUGCUGAGCUAUCUCCGCCCCCACCCCCCACCCCCGCUCCCGGUUUGGUUUUGUGCUCCUAGGGAUUGAACCCAAGACCUGUACAGUGAGCUAUAUCUCCAGCCCCCCGCCCCCCGCCCCCUUUUAUUUUGAGAUAAAGUCUUGCUAAGUGCCCAGAUUGGGCUGGAAUUUGCCACCCUCCUGCCUCAGCCUCCCAGAGUCCUGGGGUCACAGGCGUGCACCACCACGCCCGGUUUCAGAACACUUUUGGUGAGGGCCAGCGGUCUUGUCUGACUCUGCUGGACCCCACCUGUGAUCAAGGCAGCCAGCUUCCCAUCUUCCCCCUCCCCCACCACCACGUCGGAGGUAGAGAUGGGGCCAGCUGCACAGGCUGUGACCCCUGCAGACCCCCAGGGCCCUGUGCUGGCUCCUGCUCCGCUGUCUGAUUUGCAGCAGGUCCUGAACCAGCGGCCUGCGCUUCCAUUUUGCCCUGAGCCUGGCACCGUGCAGCUGGAUUCAACCGUGGCCGAUGCCCAGCGGGGGCCCCUGCGGAAGGCUGCCAGGAGUAGCCUUUGUCCGGCCUGUGCCCAAAACCUUGCCACCGUGGCCAGCAUCAGCCUGGAGGUCAGGGCCAGCAAAGGCCCCAGAAGCCUUUGGCAACACCUUGCCCCUAUUGCCACGAUUGCGCAUGCCUGCUAUGCCGCGUGGGCGGGGCAGGUAAGAAGCCCCGCCCACCUCCAGGCCCCGCCCACCCCGGGAACCCAGCUCCCCGGCUUCAGCACUCAAACCAGCAGGCGCGCGCUCGAGUGGAUUUUAUAUUUUCGUGUUGGUUUUACAUCAGCUCUGCAUUGUGCACGCUCUUCCCCGCUUGCUUCUCUCUCCACAAUCGAACCAUCAUAAAAGGCUCGUUCAAGGUCACUGAAUUGUGUAGGCGGAGGAACUGGGCCCAGGGUGUCUCAGGCCAAGGGCGGGUGUUCGCGACUCCUGUGCCCAUCGCCCGGCUGCGCGCGAGGCCGGGCGUCAGCUGGCUGAGCGCGCCUGGGCCGCGGCCACGGAGUCGCGUGGGGGCCUGAAGCAUUAUUUUCAAGGUGCGUUGUUUAUCCAGAGCGCGGCUCUGAAACCUGUUUUCUUCUCUCCCUAUCCCUGAGCAGAGAGCUGAUUUUGGAUACAAGAUGCGGGGUUGUCUCAGCCUUAAAAAUAAUCACCUCUGCAACCAGGCAUGGUGGUGCACCCCCGGUCAUCCCAGCGCCCUGUGAGGCUGAGGCAGGAGGGUCAGAAGUUUGAGCUCAGCCUGGGCAGUUUAGUAAGUCCGUGUCUCGAAAUAAAAAAGAAAUAAAGAGGGCUGGGGAGGCAGCUCA
ensembl:lincRNA chromosome unknown open reading frame, human C9orf50